ACUCAAAUGAAUUGACGGGGGUCCGCACAAGCGGUGGAACAUGUGGUUUAAUUCGACAAUACGCGAGGAACCUUACCUGGGCUUGACAUGUACUUGACCGCUGUAGAAAUAUGGUUUUCCAAGAGUAAUCUUGGACGGGUACACAGGUGCUGCAUGGCUGUCGUCAGCUCGUGUCGUGAGAUGUUGGGUUAAGUCCUCUAACGAGCGCAACUCUUACUGUCAGUUGCUAUCCUUCGGGAGCACUCUGACGGGACUGCCUGGGAAACCAGGAGGAAGGUGGGAACGACGUCAAGUCAUCAUGGUCCUUAUGCCCAGGGCUACACACGUGUUACAAUGGUCGGUACAACGGGCUGCAAACUGGUAACAGUAAGCUAAUCCCUUUAAAGCCGAUCUAAGUUCGGAUUGAGGUCUGCAACUCGACCUCAUGAAGUUGAAAUCGCUAGUAAUCGCGCAUCAGCAACGGCGCGGUGAAUACGUUCUCGGGCCUUGUACACACCGCCCGU
rnacentral:rRNA from 1 species